rnacentral:lncRNA from 1 species
AUCUCGGUACUUCCUCUCAGCAGCAGAUAGUCUUACAUUUUUAAUGCUUUCUAAUUUGCUAGAUAGAAAAUGGCAUCUGUUAGUCGACUUGGAAUGUGUACCCCUGAGUCCACAUCCCCGGCUUUUACCCCAGGGCUAUGGGUGGAAAACGCUAGCUGAGAUUUUGUCUUGCAGCUGACUUUGGUGUGUCUGCCAAGAAUCUGAAGACUCUACAGAAACGAGAUUCCUUCAUCGGCACGCCUUACUGGCAUCGGAACUGCAGCAGGACGUGGCGGGGAGCCGCGUGGAGGCGUUUUUCUGUGGAAGAGCGUCCUAAGGAAGACAGUGGGAUGCAAAGUCACGCAGAUCAUGAUUCGGGAGUGCUGCCAACCCCGACAGUGGCUCGUGGUGGCCCUUGACCCUGAAUGUCCAAGAAGCACCUGUAAAGGCCAGAUUCUUAGCCCUAUGUUGUCCCUUGGUUGGUUCAGGAUGGCCCCCGAGGUGGUCAUGUGUGAGACCAUGAAAGACACGCCCUACGACUACAAAGCCGACAUCUGGUCCCUGGGCAUCACGCUGAUUGAGAUGGCCCAGAU